rnacentral:rRNA from 1 species
GAUGAACGCUGACAGAAUGCUUAACACAUGCAAGUCGACUGGAAAACUCUUCGGAGUAAGUACGGUGGCGGACGGGUGAGUAACGCGUAAAGAAUUUGCCCUUCAGACUGGGACAACUAACCGAAAGGUUAGCUAAUACCGGAUAUUAUGAGACCUUGGCAUCAAGGACUUAUGAAAGCUAUAUGCGCUGGAGGAGAACUUUGCGUCCCAUUAGGUAGUUGGUAGGGUAAUGGCCUACCAAGCCGACGAUGGGUAGCCGGCCUGAGAGGGUGAACGGCCACAAGGGGACUGAGACACGGCCCUUACUCCUACGGGAGGCAGCAGUGGGGAAUAUUGGACAAUGGACCAAAAGUCUGAUCCAGCAAUUCUGUGUGCACGAUGAAGGUCUUCGGAUUGUAAAGUGCUUUCAGGUGGGAAGAAGAAAGUGACGGUACCACCAGAAGAAGCGACGGCUAAAUACGUGCCAGCCGCCGCCGUAAC